AAAAUGCAGUUUCGAAUUAAAAAUUCUUGCAUUUAAAAACACGGAUAAGUGUGCGAGCGGCUCGGAUCUUAUAAACAGAUCGCAAUAAAUGGUGGAAUAUUCUACGAACGUCGUUUGGGACAAGGAACGCUUGGCAAAAAAAAAAGGUUCGUGUGCCGUCAAACGAGUCUCAAACGGUUCACAGAUUAAAAACGGAUAUGUUUGGAAAAACGUUCGACGAGCCGCAGGAUAAGUUACCUAACAGACACGUCGUAACACGUUCGAACCAAGUUGUUUCUAAAGCCGAGCGACGGCACACCAGUGAACAUAAUACAUACGUGUUUCGGUGUAAUCGAAAAACAACGAUCUCGAACAGGUCCUUACAGGUGCAUUCGAACCAGCUUGAACGUACGGAACACGCUGUCGAGGAACGAACACUGAAGAGGCGAAAGAAUUUUACAAAAUGUUUCUAUACGCUUGCAAAAACUAUCAGAGUUCUCCAACCAAGUUGCUCUUAUAUUUUCUGAUCUGUAACCCUUUGUUUACCUAAUAUUGACAAUAAUAAUAAACAACAUGAUGAACAAUA